CGGUGGCAUAAAUGGUAAAGGCCACAGGUUUUGAAGCAAUGGUUUUGUUAAAAAAAAAACGCGCCUCAUCUCUACUUCUCUCUUCUCGUACUCUCUCCUUUGUUUUCUCUCUCUUCUUGAUUUCUUCGUCUCCUCUCUCUUCUCUCUGCUCAAACCCUCCUUUCUCUCUCUUCACUUGCCUCCUCUUGCUCCAUCUACCACCGCCCCAUCUACCGCCACUCCACUCUUUCUUUCUUUCACUUCUCUCUUGGCAGCACUACUGGGGAAUUUAGGAUUUGAGGAUGACGGCGGUGGUGAAUGUUGUCGCCACCAUCGUAAUUGACGGUAUUUUUAUUUACCGGUGCCAGAUCUUUGCAGAUGUGGUGGAAUUCUUCACGAAGUUGGGGUUAUGUUGUGAUGAGGUUGAUGAACAUGUUGUUCUCUUCAUGGCGCCAAGGUGAUUAUGGUGACGGUGGUCGCGAUCCGCCAGCCCACUCCAUCUCUCUAUCUCUUCUUGAGUCCUCUACUUAAAUCCGAGAAUAAGAAAACGGAGGGAAAGAUGAAAGUGUGUCUCAACCGAGUUUCAUUGAGUUCAAAUUGGACGAGAUAAGAGCUGCUGCUUCUGGGUUUUCUUAUUAAUUACUGUUCAUAUAUUUAAGGUUGGAAUUUGCGAGCUUCCAUUUCAUCCAAUUAGUUCGGAGGUUAUUGGAGGAGUUGGUGGAAUGAAAAGUAAUUUCCGAGGCGUGUGCUUAAUAAGGACAGGUUUAGUUUCAAUUUUGUUUCUUAAUUUUUUUUAUUGUUAAUUUGUGAUUGCAAUUACUGAUUGUUCUGGUGCAUCUGUUGCUGCAACUGCUGCCUUGCAAGCUGCUGCUGCCUCGCAGGGUGUUGCUCCUGUGUUGCUGUUGUAUCUGUGCUAUCAUGUUGCUGCUGCUUCUGUCUUGUGCUUGUAAUGUAUCAAUGAUUCUUUUCCAACAACAUCUAUAGAGUUUCUUAUUUUGCUAUGGCCAUGUGAUCAGAUAUUUCCUUGUUUAUUGUGAUUGAAGGUUGGUAGUAUAAUAACUAUGUGCACAGUAAACACGUUUUGCUGUAUCGAUGUCUCUGAUCUCUCUGUCACAUUCCUCUUUGCCUUGUCAUACUAGGUAAUGACAAGGCAAAACAUGGUUUUUAUCUUCUAAUAGGCAUAAUGGAAGUGAGUGACUCUAGGUUUCAUGGUGUAGAACUUGUUAUCACACAUAAUUUGUAGUUUUUUGAAGUUAUCCAAAGUUGCUUUCUUUGGAGUUUGCCAAGGAAAUAGCUAAAUAUAUGGCCAAAAACAUAUUCGAAUGCA